ensembl:lncRNA
GUCAGAGCUGUUUUGUGAUGGGUCUGGUCUGGUAGAGCUGUGUUGUGAUGGGCCAGGUCUAGUAGAGCUGUGUUGUGAUGGGCCAGGUCUAGUAGAGCUGUGUUGUGAUGGGCUGGGUCUAGUAGAGCUGUGUUGUGAUGGGCUGGGUCUAGUAGAGCUGUGUUGUGAUGGGCCAGGUCUAGUAGAGCUGUGUUGUGAUGGGCUGGGUCUAGUAGAGCUGUGUUGUGAUGGACCAGGUCUAGUAGAGCUGUGUUGUGAUGUGCCGGGUCUAGUAGAGCUGUGUUGUGAUGGGCCAGCUGUGUUGUGAUGGGCCGGGUCUAGUAGAGCUGUGUUGUGAUGGGCCGGGUCUAGUAAAGCUGUGUUGUGAUAGUAGAGCUGUGUUGUGAUGGGACGGGUCUAGUUGUGCUGUCCUGAG